AUCAAGUUACCAACUUUGCGCCUCUAUCUUCCUUCUAUGGCUAAGGUGCUUCGAUCUCAAAAUCCCGCGGCUUGACUCGCUUUCCCCUAUCCAGAGGUUCGCCGCUCACUUCGUCCUUCACGCCUGGCUUAACUACAGGAUUUGUGUGUUGGGCUUCUUAGACGCGCUACAUAUAUAACUUAAAGGCUUUGAUCAUUAAGUCCAUGAUGCUUCCUUCCAACAUGUUGAUAACCAUGCUAAUUGAAGGUCUAUUUUCUGGCUUUAUCUGUAUGCACCAUAAACCCACUAUCAUCGUCUUUUUUGCAAUUUCUUUAGUCUUAGGAUUAGCAUCAGUCUCAGGACUAACAAGACUGGUAUCAGGAGUGACCAAAUCAUAGUACUUAUCAAAAUUAUCAUAAACCCAGUCUGGUGUUAGACUGGGUUUAU